rnacentral:rRNA from 1 species
AUUGAACGCUGGCGGAAUGCUUUACACAUGCAAGUCGAACGGCAGCACGGGGGCAACCCUGGUGGCGAGUGGCGAACGGGUGAGUAAUACAUCGGAACGUGCCCAGUCGUGGGGGAUAACGUAGCGAAAGCUACGCUAAUACCGCAUACGAUCUCUGGAUGAAAGCGGGGGACCGCAAGGCCUCGCGCGAUUGGAGCGGCCGAUGGCAGAUUAGGUAGUUGGUGGGGUAAAGGCUCACCAAGCCGACGAUCUGUAGCUGGUCUGAGAGGACGACCAGCCACACUGGGACUGAGACACGGCCCAGACUCCUACGGGAGGCAGCAGUGGGGAAUUUUGGACAAUGGGCGAUAGCCUGAUCCAGCCAUUCCGCGUGCAGGAUGAAGGCCCUCGGGUUGUAAACUGCUUUUGUACGGAACGAAACGGUCCUGGGUUAAUACCUGGGGCUAAUGACGGUACCGUAAGAAUAAGCACCGGCUAACUACGUGCCAGCAGCC